rnacentral:lncRNA from 1 species
AACUAUGAAUGUCAACACAAAAUUAUAACAAUAUUCACUGAGAAGAGAUGUCAUGUGAUAACUAGCAAUGUUGUAAUCAACUUAAUCUCUUGACUUUAUUAGGCAAGUCUUCUAAUUUUCAUCAUUUUUACGUGGUUCUUCUACUAAAUUAAGAAAGGAGCUAGAAACAAAAGGAAAGUCUUUACCCUUGACUUUUUCUAGGUCUUAUACAAUACAUUUCUU